CGCACCAGGGGUGCGUGCGUGGGCAUGCCGACAUGUUCGGCGAGUCCGCAUUUCGUUAGGAUUCGGACUACCCCCACUUGAAGGUCGCUCGUUUGUAAUGCUUUGUGUCCAUCUAGCUGUGGAUGGCAAUAUGGAGGCACCGACGCCAGGAAAGUGGCGACUUUUGGCCCUAGCGUGCGUCGCUUAUAAUGAGGGCUCGUCGCGCCAAUAAAUAAACACAACUUGUGGUGCGCGUCCUGAUGCUUUCCUAUCCUUGUAUACUCUAUAACGGAAG
rnacentral:lncRNA from 1 species